AUUGAACGCUGGCGGCAUGCUUUACACAUGCAAGUCGAACGGAGGUUGGGAGCUUGCUCCUGACUUUAGUGGCGAACGGGUGAGUAAUACAUCGGAACGUACCGCGGAGUGGGGGAUAACGAGUCGAAAAGAUUCGCUAAUACCGCAUAUUCUCUGAGGAGGAAAGCAGGGGGAUCGAAAAGACCUUGUGCUCUGCGAGCGGCCGAUGGCUGAUUAGCUAGUUGGUGAGUAAAGGCUGACCAAGGCGACGAUCAGUAGCGGGUCUUAGAGGACGAUCCGCCACACUGGGACUGAGACACGGCCCAGACUCCUACGGGAGGCAGCAGUGGGGAAUC
rnacentral:rRNA from 1 species